rnacentral:rRNA from 1 species
GACGAACGCUGGCGGCGUGCUUAACACAUGCAAGUCGAACGAUGAAACCUAGCUUGCUAGGUCGAUUAGUGGCGAACGGGUGAGUAACACGUGACUAACCUGCCCCUUUCUCUGGGAUAACGCUCCGAAAGGAGUGCUAAUACCGGAUACUCACAUCGAGGCACAUGCCUUGGUGUGGAAAGUUUUUCGGAAAGGGAUGGGGUCGCGGCCUAUCAGCUUGUUGGUGAGGUAACGGCUCACCAAGGCGACGACGGGUAGCCGGCCUGAGAGGGCGACCGGCCACACUGGGACUGAGACACGGCCCAGACUCCUACGGGAGGCAGCAGUGGGGAAUAUUGCACAAUGGGCGCAAGCCUGAUGCAGCGACGCCGCGUGAGGGAUGAAGGUCUUCGGAUUGUAAACCUCUUUCAGUAGGGACGAAGCGAAAGUGACGGUACCUAAAGAAGAAGCACCGGCUAACUACGUGCCAGCAGCCGCGGUAA